rnacentral:rRNA from 1 species
GUAGGUGGCAAGCGUUGUCCGGAAUUAUUGGGCGUAAAGCGCGCGCAGGCGGUUCUUUAAGUCUGAUGUGAAAGCCCACGGCUCAACCGUGGAGGGUCAUUGGAAACUGGAGAACUUGAGUACAGAAGAGGAAAGCGGAAUUCCACGUGUAGCGGUGAAAUGCGUAGAGAUGUGGAGGAACACCAGUGGCGAAGGCGUCUUUCUGGUCUGUAACUGACGCUGAGGCGCGAAAGCGUGGGGAGCAAACAGGAUUAGAUACCCUGGUAGUCCACGCCGUAAACGAUGAGUGCUAAGUGUUAGGGGGGUUUCCGCCCCCCUUAGUGCUGCAGCUAACGCAUUAAGCACUCCGCCCUGGGAGUACGGCCGCAAGGCUG